CCAUUGGAUGAUGAAGAAUUGAUUGCGUAUAUGUUACGGGGUCUUGGAUCUGAGUUUAAUCCACUGGUGACGAGCAUCACCAGUCACACUGAUACAGUCAACAUCAUCAAUGUCUACGCCCAGAUGCUGAGCUAUGAGC